rnacentral:rRNA from 1 species
GACGAACGCUGGCGGCGUGCUUAACACAUGCAAGUCGAACGGAAAGGCCCUGCUUUUUUGUGGUUCUCGAGUGGCGAACGGGUGAGUAACACGUGAGUAACCUUCCCUUGACUUUGGGAUAACUUCAGGAAACUGGGGCUAAUACCUGCUAGGAGCUCCUGCUGCAUGGUGGGGGUUGGAAAGUUUCGGCGGUUGGGGAUGGACUCGCGGGUUAUCAGCUUGUUGGGGGGGUAGUGGCUUACCAAGGCUUUGACGGGUAGCCGGCCUGAGAGGGUGACCGGCCACAUUGGGACUGAGAGACGGCCCAGACUCCUACGGGAGGCAGCAGUGGGGAAUAUUGCACAAUGGGCGGAAGUCUGAUGCAGCAACGCCGCGUGCGGGAUGACGGCCUUCGGGUUGUAAACCGCUUUCGCCUGUGACGAAGCGUGAGUGACGGUAAUGGGUAAAGAAGCACCGGCUAACUACGUG